GAGAGCCCGGUGCUCAGUAAUGGGCACGCCGGGUUCGGCGAGCGGCCUGGAGAAACGGACCGGCGGCAACACCGGCACCGCGCUCCAGGCCGACUCAAC
rnacentral:ncRNA from 1 species